AAAAUUUGUUUUUAUGUAAGGAAUAAAGUCAAAGAAAUUUUAGAAUAUUUACUGUGUAUGCAGGCUUUAAUUACUUUUAUCAGUGCAUGUUUUUAAAAUGCUAAGACAAAUUGUUUGACAAGAUGUGCAUAUUUAAUUGCAAAAAAUUGAUACUUGCCAAGACCAGAUAUAGAUCCAGCAUUUAUCCAUGAACAAAAAGGACCUUAAAAUUUAGUUUUCUAUGUGAUACAAAUGAAACUUUCUCAUAAGUGGAGAAAAAAUAUCGUGUGCUUAUCCAAGUUUUAGAAAACAAUACACAGUUUAAAGUGGAGUAAAUUAAUUUUUAAAAAAUGCAGA